rfam:Flavobacterium frigoris strain DSM 15719 genome assembly, contig: Ga0131223_105
UUUUGGAGUGCGUGAAGGAUAGCAGCGGAAAUCCUCUCUCGUCUCGUUCUUAAAACGAGACGAGAGAGAUUGUAGCGAAUAGCCUGACCCUUG